rnacentral:rRNA from 1 species
UACGUAGGGUGCAAGCGUUAAUCGGAAUUACUGGGCGUAAAGCGUGCGUAGGUGGUGAGUUAAGUCUGUCGUGAAAGCCCCGGGCUCAACCUGGGAAUGGCGAUGGAUACUGGCUCGCUAGAGUGCGGUAGAGGAGAGUGGAAUCCCGGUGUAGCAGUGAAAUGCGUAGAGAUCGGGAGGAACAUCAGUUGCGAAGGCGGCUCUCGUGGACCAGCACUGACACUGAGGCACGAAAGCGUGGGGAGCAAACAGG